rnacentral:rRNA from 1 species
UGAGGAACAUGACUUUCGGCGGGGGAUAGCCGGCCCAACGGCCGGGUAAUACCGCGUACGACCUUUUGGGGACAUCCCCGAUUGGUGAAAGCAGCAAUGCGCCGAAAGAGUGCCUCGCGGCCUAUCAGCUAGUUGGUGGGGUAAUGGCUCACCAAGGCGACGACGGGUAGCUGGUCUGAGUGGAUGGCCAGCCACAGUUGGGACUGAGACACGGCCCAGACCUCCGUACGGGGAGCAG